AGAGUUUGAUCAUGGCUCAGGAUAAACGCUGGCGGCGUGCCUAACACAUGCAAGUCGAACGCCCUCUCUUUCGGGAGAGGGAGUGGCGGACGGGUGAGGAACACGUGGGUAUCUGCCUUGAGGUGAGGAAUACCGGCGAGAAAUCGCCGACAAUACCGCAUGCCCUUCUUCGGAAGGAAAGUCUCGCAAGAGACGCCCCA
rnacentral:rRNA from 1 species